UACGUAGGGUGCAAGCGUUGUCCGGAAUUACUGGGCGUAAAGGGCUCGUAGGCGGCCUGUCGCGUCGGGAGUGAAAGCCCACUGCUUAACGGUGGGUCUGCUUCCGGUACGGGCGGGCUGGAGUAUGGCAGGGGAGACUGGAAUUCCUGGUGUAGCGGUGGAAUGCGCAGAUAUCAGGAGGAACACCGGUGGCGAAGGCGGGUCUCUGGGCCAUUACUGACGCUGAGGAGCGAAAGCGUGGGGAGCGAACAGG
rnacentral:rRNA from 1 species